UGCCCUAGUAACGGCGAGUGAAGCGGCAACAGCUCAAAUUUGAAAGCUAGCCUUCGGGUUCGCAUUGUAAUUUGUAGAGGAUGAUUUGGGGAAGCCGCCUGUCUAAGUUCCUUGGAACAGGACGUCAUAGAGGGUGAGAAUCCCGUAUGUGACAGGAAAUGGCACCCUAUGUAAAUCUCCUUCGACGAGUCGAGUUGUUUGGGAAUGCAGCUCUAAAUGGGAGGUAAAUUUCUUCUAAAGCUAAAUAUUGGCGAGAGACCGAUAGCGCACAAGUAGAGUGAUCGAAAGAUGAAAAGCACUUUGGAAAGAGAGUUAAAAAGCACGUGAAAUUGUUGAAAGGGAAGCGCUUGCAAUCAGACUUGUUUAAACUGUUCGGCCGGUCUUCUGACCGGUUUACUCAGUUUGGACAGGCCAGCAUCAGUUUCGGCGGCCGGAUAAAGGCUCUGGGAAUGUGGCCUCCACUUCGGUGGAGGUGUUAUAGCCCAGGGUGUAAUACGGCCAGCCGGGACUGAGGUCCGCGCUUCGGCUAGGAUGCUGGCGUAAUGGU
rnacentral:rRNA from 1 species